GCCUGGGCAACCGAGAGAGACGCUGUGAAAAAAAAGAACAAAGAAAAGAGGAUAUACUUUGCUCCUACAUCCAAGAAAGUCAGGGACACUCUUCCCACUCAGUUGCAGAAGAACUUCUGUGGGCAGCCUUUGUAGAAACAGCGGUCACAGGCCAUCCAUUCCCCACUGAGGGCCAGGUGGAGGGGACUUCCAUGGUCUAGUCAGUCCCUCAAGGAGGAGACCAGAGUGGGUGUGGGAGGGGUCACUGGUCACCAAAGGAUCAGGCAGGAGGAUCAAUGUCCUGAGCAAGGUAAAGUCUGGAAGUGGGCAUGUGGCCAGAAGCUUGGCCCAAAACAGUGAGAACAGGGAUCCCAGCGGGAGAAGGCCAGCAUUGAGGGCAGCGAUUCUGACCAGGUAGUCAAAGUGCAGGCUGGGGAAGGGGCCACAGCACAAAUGCCCGGUGACUCCUGGCAGGGAUCUUAGCACUGCCAGAUAUACACACAUACACAGUUCCUAUCUAUCUCUCUAUCUCUUUAUCUGUCUGUCUAUCUAUCUGUCUAUUCAUCUAUCUAUAUCUAUAUCAUUUUAUAUAUUUAAAAAACCAUUGAAAAUAAUAGUUCUGAAUUAUUGGAGAUAAAUGAAUGAUUCCAAAAGAGGCGGAAAGAUUCUAAGAGUUAAUUUCCCCUCUGUAUUCUGCCAGCUCCUUAUAGCAGUUUUGAUUAGACAGGAGCCAUCACAGUUUAUUAAAAAUAAACAAAGCCAAGAUGGGCCAGAAAUAGAUGAAAACCUGGUUCACAUGUCUUGCCUCCGUCUCCUUCCUGUUACAUCUCCAUUUCCUGCAGUUGUCUGUCCAAAACAGUUUCUAUUUUUAAAGCAACUGAGGAUGCUUUUCAGGCUUGGGUUAGAGAGGCCUCUCUUUGGACCAACAGUCCCUCACAGUGAGUGACAAGCCCCCUCUGCCACCUUGGGAUGGUGAAUGGAGGGUUCUUUUAAGCCUAAUGUCCUGCAGAAAUUAUCUGGGAAAUCUACUAAAAUAGAGUCUGGUCUGAAAGUAAAACAUCUCCUUUCCAGUUUUCUUAUACCCAGACCUUUGAUGGUUUUUUAAAGAACUAUAUUUAGAUGCAGAAAAAACAUAAUAACUUAGGCAAGAUGGUUGUGAUUUGGAAAAAGAGAGACAGCGAGAGAGCAAGAGAGAGACAGAGCGAGGGAGAGAG